rnacentral:rRNA from 1 species
AUUGAACGCUGGUGGCAGGCCUAACACAUGCAAGUCGAACGGUAACAGGAAACAGCUUGCUGUUUCGCUGACGAGUGGCGGACGGGUGAGUAAUGUCUGGGAAACUGCCUGAUGGAGGGGGAUAACUACUGGAAACGGUAGCUAAUACCGCAUAACGUCGCAAGACCAAAGAGGGGGACCUUCGGGCCUCUUGCCAUCGGAUGUGCCCAGAUGGGAUUAGCUAGUAGGUGGGGUAACGGCUCACCUAGGCGACGAUCCCUAGCUGGUCUGAGAGGAUGACCAGCCACACUGGAACUGAGACACGGUCCAGACUCCUACGGGAGGCAGCAGUGGGGAAUAUUGCACAAUGGGCGCAAGCCUGAUGCAGCCAUGCCGCGUGUAUGAAGAAGGCCUUCGGGUUGUAAAGUACUUUCAGCGGGGAUGAAGGGAGUAAAGUUAAUACCUUUGCUCAUUGACGUUACCCGCAGAAGAAGCACCGGCUAACUCCGUG